ACUGAUGAUGAUUUAUCUCUUGGAAUCUCGUUCGUCUGAAUUCUGAUGAGACCUUAUUAUAACUGAUGGUU